ensembl:lncRNA
UGGCCAUGAGGCCUUUCAUUUGGUUUUUGAAUCUUUAGUUUAGGCAUGCCUGUCUGUGGUUUCCUUAUUGUAUAUGUUCAGUCACCAUCUGAACAAACGAUAAUCUGCUUGGAACGGCCAACCAAGAGGUCGAGAGAGACAGAGCUGGCCCUGGAACAAGGUCACUGUAAGCCCCCAGCCCCCAUGGGAAGGUGUUUCGUCGAUAUGAAGCAGGGAGGACAGGGGAAGAGUGAGGAGAGCGAGAGAGGGGGAGGAUCGAGGGUGAAGACGGCGAAGACAGAGAGCGAGCGAGGGAGGAAAGGAGAAAGGGGAACAUGGUGAAACAGCUGAGUCCAGUGUUCUACUCUCUUUAUUCCUGAUGACUCCCAGAUGUUUCAUGAAACUCCACUGAUACUCUGUCUUGCUCUCUGGCCCUGGAUGGGCUUGCAGUACCACUCUCAGGACAUGUCCUCUUAUUUAAUCAGAUAUUCCCUCUUCCCCUCUUUCUCCUUCCCUCUUUCAUCCUCUCAAUAAUAUCCCUUGGAUGACAGGCAUGCUUUGAAAUUUUUGUGGACUUUUAUACAUUCUUAAAGCAGAGUCUUCGCUUGAACAGAAUAGAUGGAUGCCAUGGACAGUGUGUUAGUUUUUUUGUCACAUCGUUGAAGCUGACCCCAGUACCGGAUCAUGCUCUACUGGGAGUGUGUAGUGACUGGGCUGUGAUGAGUCUGCUUUGUGUGUCAUACGGUUCUCUACUAUUGUGUGUAUGAUGGGGCUUAGUUAAGCAUACUGUAUUUUUCCCCUGGAGGAACAACAGGAGGAGAAGAGGAGGUUCUGGAACAUAUUUUGGCCCCAUCACAGCUCUCAUCAGGGGCCGAUUCCAUGUAAAUGAAAACAGCUUGUCUGAAGUCUCCUGGGGUUUGAGUACAAUUCCCAAAACGCAUGUACCCACACACACGCACAGACACACACAGACGUCACAUUCUGAGGUAGCUUGUUAAUAUUGAAGAACACAGUCGAAGUGCUCUGCCUUUGUUUUUUUUUGUCAACCACCUUAAAAAAACAAAACUUCUUUCCACUAUUUCUAGUUGUAGUUGUUUUUUUGGGAGCCGUAUCACUAGGUACCGACUGGUUAACAUUUUCUCAUAAACCCGCUCUGUUGAGGAAUGUUUAUUUCUCUGUUUCCACUGUAUUGUCCAGGAGCCAUUUCACAGAGCAGAAAGAGUGUUUGUCAGUACUGAGGGAGGGAGUGGGACUAUAAUUGUUUUCAUUUUGGUAGAGGUCCGG